AUGCUGGAAAAGUACUCAUUGAGGAAACAUCCGUACCUGACACAAAUAUAUGAAGUGCGACACAAGUGGGCAAAGCCGUAUUUCAUGGGGUUUUUUUGCGCCAAAAUGACAAGCACCCAGCGCAGCGAGAGUGCUAAUCACCUGCUGAAAGGAUAUGUGCCACCAGGAUGUCCAAUGCAUCUAUUCAUCAGACAGUAUGAGAAGCUCUAG
rnacentral:rRNA from 1 species